UACGGAGGGUGCAAGCAUUGAUCGGAAUUACUGGGCGUAAAGGGCGCGUAGGCGGCACAAUAAGUCGGAUGUGAAAUUCCGGGGCUCAACCCCGGAGCUGCAUUUGAAACUAUUGAGCUAGAGUUCAGUUAGGGUAAACGGAAUUCCACGUGUAGCGGUGAAAUGCGUAGAUAUGUGGAAGAACACCGGUGGUGAAAACGGUUUACUGGGCUGAAACUGACGCUGAGGCGCGAAAGCAUGGGGAGCAAACAGGAUUAGAAACCUUGUAGUCC
rnacentral:rRNA from 1 species